rnacentral:rRNA from 1 species
UACGUAGGGCGCAAGCGUUAUCCGGAAUUAUUGGGCGUAAAGAGCUCGUAGGCGGUUUGUCGCGUCUGCCGUGAAAGUCCGGGGCUCAACUCCGGAUCUGCGGUGGGUACGGGCAGACUAGAGUGAUGUAGGGGAGACUGGAAUUCCAGGUGUAGCGGUGAAAUGCGUAGAUAUCUGGAGGAAUACCGGUGGCGAAGGCGGCAUCCUGGACCGGCAUUGACGCUGAUGAGCGAAAGCUAGGGGAGCAAACGGGG